rnacentral:tRNA from 1 species
AGAAACCCAGGAAAUCCCAUUUGAAGGGACUCAUAAUCCUUUGGUCGUUGGUUCAAGUCCAACACGCCCUACCA